rnacentral:rRNA from 1 species
UACGUAGGGCGCAAGCGUUAUCCGGAAUUAUUGGGCGUAAAGAGCUCGUAGGCGGUCUGUCGCGUCUGCUGUGAAAACCCGGGGCUCAACCCCGGGCUUGCAGUGGAUACGGGCAGACUAGAGUUCGGUAGGGGAGACUGGAAUUCCUGGUGUAGCGGUGAAAUGCGCAGAUAUCAGGAGGAACACCGGUGGCGAAGGCGGGUCUCUGGGCCGAUACUGACGCUGAGGAGCGAAAGCGUGGGGAGCGAACAGG